ensembl:snoRNA
GUCCUUUUGUCGUUCAGGAGCAUGAUGACUGGGUGUCACACGCUUGUGUGACAUGUGCCUCCCUCCAACCUUGGUACAACUUUGGCAUAUUACCCAUCUGACA